UCCUAGACAUGCUUAUUUUGGUGUGACCAUACGUCUAGAGGAAAAAGUCAACUGAGGUGGUUUUCUGUGUGAUGUUGCCUCCUUGUGUCUGAAAACCAGGGGCUUUUCUAUUCAGACUGGGAACUGUGGUGUACCUUGUUAGGUCACUUUGAGCACAGUAAUUUUGGUAUUUCAUGUAUCUGUAAAUGGAAAAUGUCUCAUGUUCUUCUGAAACCCAGGACUUGGCAUCUUUCACACAUGCCCUUUCAACACUAAUAUGACUCAAUCUGAUUUAUUCACAUUUUGGAGAUGGCCUGUUCCCGUGCCCCAGGAUGAAAGGUCUUUAAAGACACUUAAAAGCAGAGGGAUACAAACUUGCUGAAUAAAAAAACCAGCAGCUAGAAAUGGGUUCCUCAGCUUCAGAACAAGCCCCACAUCCCUGGUUUAGAGAAGAGCACAAUGAAAAACUGUCUUUUAGCUUGGGGUCAUUUGGAGACAGGCUGAGAGAGACAGAAGUAAUGGUAAUUUACGAGACUGAUUAAGCUCUUAUUAACUUUGACUUGAAAGAGGAAGAUGAAAUCUAACACAAAAAACGUUUCCAAGGAACUGACCCCAAAGGACAGCAUCAAGUCCAGCAAACACCACACUGUUUAGAGUCUGAGUUUGGAAGAAGAGCCAUUUCGACUUAAUAAAAAGAAUAUUUAUCUCUCCAAGGAGCUGCCUUCGGGGGAUAUAAAGUUUCUUGUCACUGGAAGAACAGAGAAUCACCUGGGAAGCCUGCGUUAGAGAAGGAUGCAAGCGUUAGAUGUGAGCUGUAUUUCAACUCAAGGGUCCUUUAACCAUUAGAGUCAGAGGUUCUGUGGUUCUGCAGAUGGGAAUAAGCAGGAUCUUCUCUGAUGCUCAGGUAUUUCCUGUGUCUCAGUCAGAUGGGAUUAGAAACCACGCAGACGGCCUAUGAGAUGAUAUCAACCACCGAGACGAUGGGAUCUCUGACUGUUCCUCUUUUUCUCUCACUUCUAUUUUUCGCUCUCUGUUCAAAUUCUCUUAUAAUAGGAAGAAGUCAGUUAUUGCUCACCAGGGACUGAGUGGUCAAUCACUUUUCCAGUGGUUUCUCUGAUUCACUGAUGGCUGUGCUAUAGAAGGAAAAUAAUUAAGGGGGGGGGAGAACCUCAGCAAGAUCUCUAUACACCUCCACCCUGAGAACACAUGAUAUGGAAAGCCCAUUUCGUGAAGUAACUGAGAUUUCCAGGGCUGCCAAUCUGGCAGGCCUUCAACAUUUAAACAAAAAUUUAAAAAGGGGAAAAAUACCCCCUCUGCCAAGUAUCCCUGUAUUGUCAAUAAAAUCAAAUGAACUGCUUUUUCUGAAUAUUGGUCCCCAAGGAGAAGAGCGUGCUGAUUGCCUGAGACGUAUCACUUUUUUUUUUUUAACUGCUUUAUUCCAGGUAUUUUUCACUCUUAAAUAUUUUAUUAAGAACGAUCAAAUAUUUUCUAUUAAAAAGCUGACCUUUGGGCGAAGUUAGUCAUUAAUAUUUUAGACUACAUGGAUUGUGGCAACUUUGGAGCAGGGUUUUUUUUUUUUUUUCCCCUGCUACCAUGCCUAGAGGCCCAAUAAAAGCAAAUCAGAGUAUUAUAUAUAUUAGUACUAUGUUGUUGGAAUACAGUUUUUCCUGCUUUUGGACUUUGAUGUUAUAUUAUAUAUUUUCCAAGAAACAUUGACAUAAAACGCAGUCUGGAAUAUUGACAAUGAAAGUGAAACAAGAAAAACAAAAACUCAGCUUUCAUAUGAAAAGGAACCAAAGUAUGGUUAUCAGUGAAAAGUAGUUAGCGCUAUAAAAAGGCAAAAGGGAUCAGAAAUACAAGCCAUCGUCCAAAACAUACAGAGGAGAAGGUGUUUCUAAUGGGCAUUUAAUGAGGAAUAAGUUGCUGAAACUCCAGUUAUUGCAGUGUUGGCUGGAAGGAAAUGAAAAUGUGGCACAAAAAAUAAAAUAACUUUUGAUUAACUAUAAUUGCAAAAUCAGAUUAAAAGCUGAAACUGAUUAUAAACAGAAUGGAUAAAAUAACCAAGUUCGAAAGAUCUUGGAGACUUCAUAUGCGUGACGGCUGGUCACAAGUGUCAAGAAGAAUUGAGGGGACCUCAUGUCUCUCUGGCAAGGAUAGUUGUGUCUGCAGCCUUCUCCAGGUAAUCAAGGGGAACUCAGACCCACAAACUCUGGAGGGCGCAGUUUGCUUUGUGAAUGACCGCAUCUGAAGAGGUUGAUGUGAUGCAAAUUAUGUGAUUCUCAUGGUACAAACCUUUCUUGAAUUACAAUUUGAUGUACAAAAUAUGAGCUUACAAGUAUUUCCAUUGCAUUAGAGUUAUCGAAAUACGGAGGUGUUUGGAAAUACAUCCAUCACUCUUUCCCUAUUAGACUUUACAUAAAAAGUUUGUUGAUCCACUUCGGGGAUGGAGUAAGCGUGGCAAGAUGGUGGAUGGCAGCACAACAUCAGGAUUUGGUGUAACUGCUGUGUCUUAUAUAGUGUAAAUCUACCGGACAGAACCACUUCCUUCUUCUUCUUCUUUUUUCUGUUCAUUGUGUUGAUGUGUCCCCAGUAUGUAGAACAAUGUUCAGCAGAGAGCAGGUGUUUAAAAAAAUCAUUUUUGACUGAAUAUAGUAAAGAAUGUUUUGGGAUAUAGUCUUGGUUUAGUCACAGCUUCAAGAUGCUCAGACUUCAUUCUUGAGGUCACCUAAGGCAGCCUUACUUCCUCUCUGGUCAGACAGAAUCAGGUUUGUAUCCAAACUUGAUGGCUUAAUUGUUGGGUACAAGCACGGUUAUUUGGGUUUAGUUCUGAGGGGUUUUUUUGGGUAAUCCUCCUCUGUAUCUAGGGUUGAAUCUAGAUAUGUGAUCAACUCAGUUUAAUAAGAUUGACAGACAGAUUGAUAAAUAUUUGUUUCUCUGCUUCCUCUUGCAGACUUGAUGAUAUGUCUGCUUAAUGUGCCCCUGUUGAUAGUUGCAAAAUUUCUAGACGAACUAUGAAAGAGUGACGUCGGUGAGAUGGGGCAAAUCCUCAUUUGUUUUAACAAAAGGCAUUAUUCCCAAGUGCCAUAGUAAUGAGUUUCCCAACAACAAAUAGGGCAUUCAGGUUCCAGCCUGGAAAACAAGUAGUGAUUCCUUUAUUAGAAAGUUCCAUGAAAUAUAUUUCUUUUGUCUCUAUUUUAUUUGCCUUUGUUUAACAGGCAGCUUUCACAUAUCAGAAAAAUGGACUUGUUUCUUAAAGCCUGCCUAACCACCACCAUCUGAGACGAGUAAAUCUCUCAUUCUAGAUCGUAUUCUCAUUCCUUGUAGCCGCCUGUUGCUGUCACUCCGUCUUACAUGAUUGGAAAUGACCACCGCGCAUGUGUAAAAUUGCUGCUGGGCGCUUCCCAAUGUCUCUUCCAUAUUGUGCUACAAUUACUUUUGGCAUCUAGAAGCAAAAUUUGCCUCUCAAUCCAAACUUAACAUUUUUUCAUCCUCUGCCUUUGAAACAACAUAUCUGCAGAUUGUUUGCACUUGUCUGGGGUUCUGGGGGUUCCCUGGAGUUUUCCAAUGUCAUUUUUCUCCUAAGCUUCCUGUGGAAGUUACUGUUCUGUUUCUGUUUCAUCUCUCCCACUUUUUUUUUUUUUUUGGCUUUAUAGUUUCAUAAGGAAUUGUCCAUUUUACCGCUGCAGGCCUUCUGUGUACUUUAGUCUCUAAGCAGUGCUGGUCAUUGUCUCUUAUUCCAAAAUCAAAUGUCUUUGAGCUCUAAUCCUGUCGACAUCUGCCAUCUAGGUAGCAUUGGGCUUGUGUGUGGAAAUGGUAUGAGGAUUCAGUGUUGGCUGUUACAGGUGAACAACUACAGGGUUGGAUUUUGCACAUUUCAUCCCAGUGCUGGGGGAUCUUCUGGACCCUGGCUUUGUCUUUGGAUGAUGUCAGAACUGGGGGCCAGGUUCCGACUUCCUCAAGGUCUAGCGUGUGCUUCGAGGGUGGGAGGGGCCACACUGGCCCAGGAGAAGACAGAACUGUGUCUCUUCUCUGGUGAAAACAUUGCAAGAAAUCCAUCUGGCAGUGAGGAUAAAAGACACCCCCCAUGUUGGCCUCUGCUGAGCUCAGAAAUGUGCCUCCCUCGCUGUGAUUUUCAGUGCCCCUCAUUGCCAAGCUCGCAUAUCUUAUGCUACACGGUUCCCUGCCUAGAACACCCUUCCGUAUUCCUUUUGCUCAUUUUGCAUAGUUGCUAUUUAUUCUUUAGGUCAUUUAUUCUUUAGGUCUCCUUUUAGAGUUUAUGUCUCCUAAGAUGUGAUCUCUGAUGCAUAAAUCCAGCCAACGUGGCCCUUAUAUGAUCAUAGAACUUCCUGCAUGCUGUCAAAGGUUUUUCAUCAGGUAUUAGUCACAUGGUUAUUUUUCAGUGUCUGUUAUGUUCAUUGUUGCAGCCCCAACAUCUAACAGAAGUGCUAAUUAGUAUUUUUCAGUCAUUGCAUAACUUUCCUUCAUCUAACCCUUUACCAGGUGUUAAUGCUACACAGACAUUUUUACUGAACUAGGCAGCUUUAUCUUAUUACACUCUCACUACAAUCCAUGAGGUGGGUAUUCUCUUUAUUUAAUGGCUGAUGAAAUUGGGGCUUGAAGCUAAAUAUUCUCCUCAUAUUGCUAUUAAAUGGCCCCGACUGGAAUUUGAAUCUGGGUUUGUCUACUUCCAAAUCCUAUUAUCUUAAUUGUACUGGUAGACAGAGCAAUUUCUUUAGAUCCUAGGUGACAAGUUACCUUUCUUUAAGUCUAGUUCAACUACAUCGUAAUGGGGUUGUACUUGCAUACUUGCUGUAUUAGUUUGCUGUUGUAACAGAUCGCCACAAACAUAGUAGCUUAAGAUGAUACAACUUUGCUUCCUUUCAGUAUGCUAGAAGUCCAAUGUCAGUCUUACUGGGCUAAAGCCAGGGACUUCCUUCCUUCUGGAGGCUUUUGGAGGGAGUCUGCUUCCUUGUUUUUUCCAGCCUCUAGAAGACGCUCAAACUCCUUGACUCAUGGCCUUUUUCUUCCUUUAUCUUCAAACCUAAGAAGAUAGGUUGAUGCUCUUUCCCUUAUCACAUCUCCCGGUGAUGACUUCGUCUGUGUCUCUAUUCCACUGGUAAGGAUGCUUAUGUAGAUAAUCCAGGACUAUCUCUAUUUUAAGGCUAGCUGAUUAGCAGCCUUAAUUCCAUCCACUGUAUUAAUUGCCUUUGCCAUGUAACCUAACAGAGUCACAGGUUCCAGGGGAUUAAAAGGUGAACAUCUUGGAGGUGGUGGGAUCAUCAUUCUACCUACCACACAUGCACACAACAAAUAUGCUUUGCUGCCUUUACUGAAGGUAAAGAAUGCUGUCACGAAGACGGCAGAGACAGGGGUGGGCUGGUGACCCCAACAAGCUUUAGAGGAACAAAUAUCUGAAUGAAACCCUCGGUUUGAAUUUUCGGUGUCUCCACUGUUGAUCAUCCUCUGGGAACUGACAGCCAACACCAUUUACAAGAACCGAAUGAGUACAUUGGAAUGCAAACGCAUUAUUUUGCAAUAGGAAGCUUUGCAAAUGGGUACAGUCAUCCACCAUCCACGGGCUCUCUCCCAUGGAAGUGAAAUUAAAUUUAAAACGUUAACUGGUAGAUAUCUCAAGCACUCUUUCUCCUGGCAAGGACACUUACAUUCAAUGAUCCUUGCCUUUAAAAAUUAUGUUGCCCUAAUGGACGAAGGGCUGGCCAUCUUCCUCCUUUGGCCUGUAGUAUGAUGACACCUGCUAAGAGCUCAGGAUCUGUCACAUUUCUGUCCCAUGAAAUGUCAUUUCUUCUGCUCAUAUUUUUUAAAUUUUAUUUUAUGUUUAUUAGAGUAUAGUUGAUUUACAUACACUAUUGUGUCAAUUCCUGGUGUAUAGCGACCCAGUCAUACAUAUAUUUAUACAUUUUUUUUCUCAUACUAUCUUCCAACAUGUUCUGUCCCAAGAGACUGUAUCUAGUUCCCCAUGCUGUUCGGUAGAAUCUCAUUGUUUAUCCACUCUAAAUGGAACAGUUUGCAUCUUCCAGCCGCAAACUGCCCGUCCAUGUCCAUCCCACUGCCUCCCUGCCGCCCCCUUAGCAACCACAAGUCUAUUCUCUAUGUCUGUGAGUCUGUUUCUGUUCUGUGUAUAAGUUCAUUUGUGCCAUAUUUUAGAUUCCACGUAUAAGUGCCAUCACAUGGUGUGUGUCUUUUGGAUACUGAGUUGAUUCCCUGAUUCCCACCCCCUGCUUUGGCCACUUUUUGAGAUAGCCCUUCUCCGAUGACUUCCAUAUGGAUACUGUCAUCAGGCAUUUGCUAUUUCUGGUUUAACUUUUAGAGAGAAAAUUACCUUUCUCUUCCCAGGGGCCAUUUCCUGUAUUGAGUCUUUCCUUUGACAUCCAACUGGCUGUAGGGAUUAUAUGCUUUUAAUAACCACUUUCCAUCAAGCACCCAUGGCAUCCUACGUACAGAGCACCCCAGCAUACUUCUCUUUUCUCCAAUUUAUCAGGGAAGCCUAUUACAUUUCCCUGAAUUUGCCUUGAGCAUUCACUGCUGGCUGAUUCCUUACAUUUUCGCACUAUAUUCUGAAGAUUAGUGUGAAUUCCUGUCUCAUUCUCCAGGCCUUUCUAAUCUGAGAUACCGGCUUUUUUUUUUUUUUUUUUUUAAACCUAGGAACCUCUGUGGAAAAACCUUUUUCUGCUUAUUCCCCCAAAUGUAAAUCACAUCUCUUUGAAUCCUUCUGACAAUUUUCACCACCAUUUUAAUAGACUGAUGUGAAUUUAUAUUCUCACGGAAACGAAUCCGACUAGGAACCGUGGCCUUGCUCAGUGGGUUGGGGAUCCGGUGUUGCCGUGAGUGGUGGUGUAGGUUGCAGACACGGCUCGGAUCUGGCGUUGCUGUGGCUGUGGCGUAGGCUGGUGGCUGUAGCUCUGAUUAGACCCCUAGCCUGGGAACCUCCAUAUGCC
rnacentral:lncRNA from 1 species